rnacentral:rRNA from 1 species
GGUGGUCUAAUACUUCAUAAUAUCCAUCUCGUAUGGAUUAAAGCUUUAUGCGCUUUGGAGGGGCCUGCGUAACAUUAGCUUGUUGGUGAGGUAAAAGCUCACCAAGGCUUCGAUGUUUAACUGGUUUUGAGAGGAUGACCAGUCACACUGGGACUGAGAUACGGCCCAGACUCCUACGGGAGGCAGCAGUAAGGAAUCUUCCACAAUGGGGGCAACCCUGAUGGAGCAAUACCGCGUGCAGGAUGAAGCGUUUCGGCGUGUAAACUGCUUUUAUCACCGAAGAUUAUGACUGUAGGUGAAGAAUAAGGACCGGCUAACUACGUG